GAAGGGGUUUGAGGCUGUGUUUCCCAUCAGCAACGUGAGCCGGGAGGACCGGGGGAGCUACAGCUGCUCCUAUCACAGCAGAUCGGGGUCAGCCGCCGCAUCGUCCCCCAGCGACCCCGUGGAGCUGGUGGUGAGAGGGGGAACGGACUCG